GCUUAGUAUCUGGUGUCCUCUGGUGAUUUCAACUGCAUACAGUCCAUGAAACCAAGAAAGUUGUGCACACAAGAAAGGGGAUCCCAGCAAAGGCCUUUGCGACACUCUCUAGAUCAGAUGAAGACAACCAACAUCAGCAAUCCAACAACACAGAAAUCAUAGACUUGGCAGCAACUAGUUGUGCAUGAUUGUCCUCUUCAUAUUGAUACUGAAACCUUUAUACAGCAUGGAAAGAUCAGAGGGUGAAGCAGGACCAGAUUAGGACAAGGACAUGUGUGGCGGCAGGUACAGUUGUUUUUAUUUUAUUUAGGUCUAAGCUUGAGCAGCAGUUUAAGCGCUCUGGGAUGCCAACCUGCAAGAUAAUAUAAAAGCAAUAUAAAUGCAAGUUGUUUUGUCUGGACAGUAUUGCCAUUAUAUUGAUAAAUAUUGUAACCUUUUUACUUUUCUUUCCAGCAAGGAGAGGUUGGAGGGCACUAUAGGAGCAGAUUAGAACAGGUUUGUUUCCUCUUUGUUUAUUGUCUUCUUUAUCGAGAUCAAUUUUGAAAUCUUUAUACUUUGUUUUCCAGCCGGAGCCGGAAAGAAUCCCUGUCCCCACUGACUGGUGUGCCUGGCCAAAUGCUUCCAAUGACUAAUGCUGGCUAAUGUCAUUACAUGUGCUGUGAAGUACCGGAGACUCGCCUAACUUGGGAACUGCAAUAUUGUGACUGCCACAGAGGAUUGUUCGUCUCUUGCCCCUCCGCUCCCUCCUCGGCAACCGUACUUUCAGCCACGAUGCCCAAAGCUCUGGAAC